CGGGUGAGUAACACGUGAGCAACCUACCCUUGACACUGGAAUAACAGCUGGAAACAGCUGCUAAUACCGGAUACGACCUUCGAUGGCAUCAUCUGGAGGUGGAAAGCUCCGACGGUCAAGGAUGGGCUCGCGGCCUAUCAGCUUGUUGGUGAGGUAACGGCUCACCAAGGCUUCGACGGGUAGCCGGCCUGAGAGGGCGACCGGCCACACUGGACUGAGAUACGGCCCAG
rnacentral:rRNA from 1 species